UACGAAGGGUGCAAGCGUUACUCGGAAUUACUGGGCGUAAAGCGUGCGCAGGCGGUUUUGUAAGUCUGUCGUGAAAUCCCCGGGCUUAACCUGGGAAUUGCAUUGGAGACUGCGAGGCUAGAAUCUGGCAGAGGGGGGUAGAAUUCCACGUGUGAGCAGUGAAAUGCGUAGAGAUGUGGAGGAACACCGAUGGCGAAGGCAGCCCCUGGGUCAAGAUUGACGCUCCAUGCACGAAAGCGUGGGGAGCAAACAGG
rnacentral:rRNA from 1 species